rnacentral:rRNA from 1 species
CUAGCGGCAGGCCUAAUACAUGCAAGUCGAACGGUAACAUUGGUGCUUGCACCAGAUGACGAGUGGCGCACGGGUGCGUAACGCGUAUGCAACCUACCUUUUACUAGAGUAUAGCCCAGAGAAAUUUGGAUUAAUCCUCUAUAACAUCUUUUAAUUUCAUGAUUUUAAGAUUAAAGUUUUAACGGUAAAAGAUGGGCAUGCGUCCUAUUAGUUUGUAGGUGAGGUAACGGCUCACCUAGACUACGAUAGGUAGGGGCCCUGAGAGGGGGAUCCCCCACACUGGUACUGAGACACGGACCAGACUCCUACGGGAGGCAGCAGUAAGGAAUAUUGGACAAUGGACGAAAGUCUGAUCCAGCCAUGCCGCGUGCAGGAUGACAGCCCUACGGGUUGUAAACUGCUUUUAUACAGGAAGAAACACUCCGACGUGUCGGAGCUUGACGGUACUGUAAGAAUAAGGAUCGGCUAACUCCGUGCCAGCAGCCGCGGUAAUACGGAGGAUCCAAGCGUUAUCCGGAAUCAUUGGGUUUAAAGGGUCCGCAGGCUGUUUUUUAAGUCAGAGGUGAAAUCCUACAGCUCAACUGUAGAACUGCCUUUGAUACUGGAAAACUUGAGUUAUUGUGAAGUGGUUAGAAUGUGUGGUGUAGCGGUGAAAUGCAUAGAUAUCACACAGAAUACCGAUUGCGAAGGCAGAUCACUAACAAUAUACUGACGCUCAUGGACGAAAGCGUGGGGAGCGAACAGGAUUAGAUACCCUGGUAGUCCACGCCGUAAACGAUGGAUACUAGCUGUUCGUCUAACAUUGGUUAGAUGAGUGGCUAAGCGAAAGUGAUAAGUAUCCCACCUGGGGAGUACGGUC